GGUUUGUCAUUUUAGGCUAAAACAAAUUAAGGGGCUAAUCCUUAUUAACUAACUAACAACGUUACUUGCCACUCGUAGCUGCCAAAUAGAUGUCCGAAAACAAAAUGGUUAGUCCGUAUGCCUUUGGAAAUGUGAAAUUUGACACAACAUAUCUACAGGAAAGUAACAAUUUUUCAAAAUGCGUGUCAGGAGAUGCAGGUUCAGUCUGGCACAUGCCUACAUGAUUUAAUAACAUAUUGUUUUCAUUCUCAUCUUCAGCACCUGGGUAACUCUCGCUGUCUCAGAACCCAGUCCGCACCAAAUGACACAUCUAAGACUGUGGUUGUCCCGUUGACUGCCCUAUGUUCAUCAGAGUGGCUUGAUACCAGACAUGGAAGAGAACAGCGGAGUCCUACAUCUCACAUCACCCAUACAUGCAGAGGGAAACGCUGUUCAGAUAAGUGAGAUCAGUGGAGGCAGCCUAUGAGAAGCUGGCAGAUGAGGCUCUGUAUGCGUUGGCUGACUACUUUGAGGAUCUGAUGGAUGGACCACUAGCAGGGCCUGAGUUUGAUGUUCUCUUCUCUGGUCGUUACAGCUGUAAUUCAGACAAAGACAUGUUCCCAUCAUCACAAGUAUAUAAACUCCACGGUAGACACCCCUCCUUCUCUCCAAUACUUACAUCCUAUGAUUCGACAGGAAGAGGGUAACAGGAUAAUAAACCAUUAUUUCUCCAUUCAGGGAGAAACCUGAACCUGAACCAGAUCUGACCUGACCUCCUGACCUCAACCCCUCCUUCGCAUAAUCCACAGAUGUCCUCUCGUAUCACCUAUCACACUCCCAUGACUCCCUCUCGUCCACCCAGCACAUUCCGCAGCCACUCUGUCUUACUACAGAGAACCAUUAACUUCUCACUCCUUUAUAUACAAUGCGUCUGAUUUAUCAUGUCUUUAAUAUCUCAAUGUUCAAAGUUUACCCCGAAUCCAACACAUGAAACGCUGUCUUCUCUGUAAGUAGGCUACUGAUUGUAUUCUGAUUGUAAGUCAAUCUGGAUAAGUGUCUAUUAAAUUAUGGAAAUGGCCAGAGUAUGAAAGUACAGGGACUUCUCUAUAAGUACAGGGAGAUACUGUACAUACCAAUUGCACUCCUUUUGGGAAAUUCUUAUCUUUAUCUAUCCUUCUUUUGUCCACUAGGGGUAGCUGUUUAAUUACAUAUAAUUCUGUUGGAAGUUUGUCAGUCCUUAUUUGCAUCAAAACACUUUCUUUAUGUUAGUUUCCCAGAGCACAAAUGUAAAAAAUAUUCUUGCCAUUUUUUUAUAUUGGUGAGAAGUAACGAUGUUGCAAAUAUAGUACUCUUUUCUGUUAUUUUUUCAUCCUUUCUUGUCACCCUUCAUCAGAGCAGUUCUUCAUCAGAGCAGACUACUUGUGAAUGUUGAUUGGUAGCCUAUGUGCCUAUUAGGGAUCCGUGAGUCAUUAGAGCUGUAGGAUUGUGCUGUUGCUGUAAUGUGCAGGGCCAAUUACUUCCAGAGUGCAAAGGUCACAGGAGGAAAUAAUGAUUGUAGUGUCUUCUAAUCACUGACGCACAGGGCACUAAACACCACUUCAAUACACUGAUGGCACUGUGUGUGUGUGUCCAUGAGAUUAAAUUGGUCUAACAUGACGCUAAAAAGUGUUUCAUGGUAAUAAUGACCUGACCUCUUGACCUGGGUCAGUGCUGUAUUGAACAGCCAGAGGAUCUAUUGAUGCCCAGAGAGCUGACUGACUAACCCACCCACUACUGCUUGUGCUGAUGAUGGUGUGUGUGUGGGAAUGUACCCCUGUGAGAUAUUUUUUUGUGGAACAACUGUCAGAAGGUCACUUCUGGUGACUUUUUAAAAGGACAUUCUACUCCAAAAUUAAUUUAAAAAUAAUUAUGUUGACACCAUCUGAAAUAUAAUUUUCAUUUUAAAAGUAUUAGAACCUGUAGCCCAACUGAUGCAGCAUAGCGGCUUUAAAUUAAUAGGCUGAAGCAUCGGGUUGCCCAUCUGCAUUAACCUCAUUGGAAAACUCCAAAUGACUAUGAAUGGAUCGAAUUCUACAAAUAGACAUAAUUUGACACUCCAGAGGGGUAUAAUACAAAGCAGGUCAACAAGUUAGUCAGGUAACUUUGAUAAACAACCAGAAAUAAUUAUUGAUUUUCUGGUUCAUUAAAAAAGCUGAACUUAGAUAUGCGUCUUUGGUUAUUGAGUCAAUUAGACCCUGCCUAUUUCAUGUUGGCUGGUAAGUCAUUGAUCUUGCUUUGUAGUAUACCCCUCUGUUUUUUUCUGGAUCAAAUGGGGCUUGGUGGUGGGCGUGGUCUCCGACAGAAUAUUGCUGUUUGUUUUAAAGCCACUUUUUCUAGUAGGUCUGACCCCAUUUAGUCAGUUGAGAUUGUUUUAAUCAAGCUGUGACAAAUACACUAUAUAAAAAAUUGUUAUGCCACACGUCUGUCUGGACUAAGCCAUUGCGGAGGCCACAGGGAUGGCACACCAGUGUCACAUUUAUCCUACCAUUUUUAUUUAACCAGGUAAGUUGACUGAGAACACCUUCUCAUUUACAGAAACAACCUGGGGAAUAGUUACAGGAGAGAGGGAAUGAAUGAGCCAAUUGUAAGCUGGGGAUGAUUAGGUGCCCAUGAUGGCAUGAAGGCCAGAAUGGGAAUUUAGCCAGGACACAAGGAUUAACACCCCUACUCUUACAAUAAGUGCCAUGGGAUCUUUAGUGACC